UUUGGUGGGAGGGACUUCCUUGUAUUUUCACAUGUGGUUGCUGUCAGCAGGCUGAAAUCUUGAUAAGCUACGCAGCCAACCUGGCUGGCUUUACUGAAACCCUGCUGAAGAGAAAUCCUGAGCUGCAAAGCCGCCGUUUUGUUUCACACCACCUGCGGUUGCAGAGGACAACCGCACUCAGCAUCUGGCCCAAACUUAUUUCCAAGUGCAUCUCGGAUCCAUACGGAUUCCAUCCAAAGGUCAGCAGCCACAGUUUGUGAUGAGGAAUGUUCUGCUUUGGAGACACAAUGUUGUCACUGUGAUCUGCUUCCCCUGCCCAGAGCAAGCAGUCCAUUGUUCCCACUGAAUGCGAGAAAGGGCUCGAGAUCUUUGAAAUGGAAACUGCCUUUAAAUCCAAAUCAUUUAAAGCAUAGACACAGACUGAUGCUACUUACAAUAAGCAACUCUGAAAGACACUCUUUCUCCAUAGUUU